AUGGGAACGCGAAGAACCUUACCUACUCUUGACAUCCAGAGAACUUUCCAGAGAUGGAUUGGUGCCUUCGGGAACUCUGAGACAGGUGCUGCAUGGCUGUCGUCAGCUCGUGUUGUGAAAUGUUGGGUUAAGUCCCGCAACGAGCGCAACCCGUUAUCCUUUGUUGCCAGCGGUUCGGCCGGGAACUCGAAGGAGACUGCCAGUGAUAAACUGGAGGAAGGUGGGGAUGACGUCAAGUCAUCAUGGCCCUUACGAGUAGGGCUACACACGUGCUACAAUGGCGCAUACAAAGAGAAGCGACCUCGCGAGAGCAAGCGGACCUCAUAAAGUAUGUCGUAGUCCGGAUUGGAGUCUGCAACUCGACUCCAUGAAGUCGGAAUCGCUAGUAAUCGUAGAUCAGAAUGCUACGGUGAAUACGUUCCCGGGUCUUGUACACACCG
rnacentral:rRNA from 1 species